CCGGGGACGAGGAGCUGGCAUCAGGCACACCAGAUGGCCCAAGACGCCUUGCUCAGCCACACCCCCAAGGGAAUUCAGCAGUAAUAAACAUUAAGCCAUAAGUGAAAACUUGACUUAGUUAGGGUUAAGAGGGCCGGUAAAAUUCGUGCCAGCCACCGCGGUUAUACGAAAGACCCUAGUUUAUAGGCACGGCGUAAAGGGUGGUUAUGGGACAGACAAAAUAAAGCUAAAGACCCCCAGAGCCGUCAUACGCCCACGGGGACGCGAAACCCAAAUACGAAAGUAGCUUUACCAAACAAAUGCCCGACCCCACGAAAGCUGAGAAACAAACUGGGAUUAGAUACCCCACUAUGCCCAGCCUUAAACCUAGAUGAAAACUUACAAAACCAUCCGCCCGGGGACUACAAGCACAGCUUAAAACCCAAAGGACUUGGCGGUGCCUCAGACCCACCUAGAGGAGCCUGUUCUAGAACCGAUAACCCCCGUUAAACCUCACCACCUCUUGUUUUCCCCGCCUAUAUACCGCCGUCGUCAGCUUA
rnacentral:rRNA from 1 species